UUUGUCUAGUUACAUGUAUGUGCAUGUGGAGGCUAUGUUCACCUUGAAGAGUUGGCUAUACCGCCAUGCUUAUUACAGCACUGUUCACAACAGCAACAAUAUGGAAACAACCUAUAGACAGAGUAACGUGAUUGAAAAGAGCGUAACCCUGCCUGCCGCACCUCAUCCAUCUGUUAUGAGUGUCUCUGGAGGGGAAAAGUACCAUUACCCACGCCUGCUCAUCUUCGUCUUUGUGAUUACUUCUUGCCUUUAGAAAGCUCUCUGGCGUGACGACUUAAUCUCCAGAUUAACGUGUUAUCCCACUGAAUUCCUGCCGCUGCAGAUAAGGGUUACUAUCGCCACGGCUCCCUCCGUCCCUUCCCAUCUCUGUUCUUUCCCCCUGCGGGUCCCAGGCUAGCUGUGCCAGGGUCAGUGGUCAGCUUAAGACAUGUGCUAGCCCAUCUCUGAUUUAGUGUGUCUGGGUGGGUCUACCAACUUUCUUUCCCUUUAUCGGUGUUAAUUUACGUGUGUGCAGGCACACUCCACAGGGGACAAGCUGGACCCGGCACUACGCGACUUUAACUUACAGAGAAUCAUCGGCUAUGCAGGCCCCUUUCUUCCCUGUACUCACCUGCACUCCAGAUCCCAGUCUAAUGUGCAUUAUAUUUAAACCGUAG